UACAGAGGGUGCGAGCGUUGUCCGGAAUCACUGGGCGUAAAGGGCGCGUAGGUGGCUUGCCAAGCGUGUGGUGAAAGCCCGGAGCUCAACUCCGGGGUCUGCCAUGCGAACUGGCAGGCUUGAGCACGGUAGAGGCCAAUGGAAUUCCGGGUGUAGCGGUGGAAUGGCGUAGAGAUCCGGAAGAACACCGGUGGCGAAGGCG
rnacentral:rRNA from 1 species